CACAAAGCCAGCUCCAUGGAGAAAUGCUUUUCUCACUGUGGACUUGACUGGCCUGCACAGUCCUGACCUCUACCCUAUCCGGCCACUUUGGGAUGAGCUGGAGCACUAAUCAUCAGUCAAAGGUUUAAUUUUCUGCGUUUUCCGCACCAGUCAGAAGUAAUAGAGGAUGAGGACAGCACACAGACAGGAGGGAGAGCGACAGCGUGGAGACAGAGAGGGGAGACAGCUCAGCCUCUUGUAGCUGCCGUGCCAAAUGCAAGAUGUGGGCAGAGAGUGGAGACAGCCUGUGGAGGAACCUCAAGUGGAGAGAAGCAAGGAAGGAAAUGAGAGAGAAGGACAGCAGUGAGCAGACAGCUCCUGUAUCAGCAGGGAGAAUGCGGCUGAGAAUACAAUUCACCUCUCAGCAGUGGAUGCGGCCGGGAACAAUGGAGACGCAGAGGUCAGGCGUGUGGAAAAAAACAACAGCACAGAGGUCUGACAGGUGUCUCUGCUACAGUCGUGUCACACGGAGCCUGCCCACACUACGCAAACAUUGCUGCUCAUUAUAACAACAGAGUUGCUGUCAUCGAGUACAUCUUUACAGAAAGCGGCUUUAUUUUCUCAUGGUGUUGCAUGGCUCAUCAAGGUUGUCUACAUUCUGUCGUGUUAAGAUUAAAAACACAAGGCAAUGCAGGCUUUUGGGAUUAACCUGCCUGAAGGGAUUAGGCUGCUACAUCUGUAUUAUUAUAUACAGUAAACCACUUCUGUAAAUUCUCCGCUUAGGGUUUUGUGGUUAAUACCAGCUAAACGACCUGCUGAAAGGUAUUUCUAGAGCCAAAUGUUUGCAUAUUAGACUGAAUUAGUCAUAAUGGGCCACAACAGGGUCAUUAUUAGACACAACCUGGGUGUUCUUUGGAGACCUUGUUGCCUAGAGAUUAUGUUUUUAUUUUACAGUGUUAUGCUUAAUAUGUUCUGAUGGAAAUGUAAUUGCUGCCUGUUUUGUUGGCUACAUUUUUGCUUAACCGUAAGGUGUGGAG